CACCACUGGUGACUGGUCUUCAAAAAUAAUAACAAAUAUAAAAAUGGCUUUGCCUCCUCCAGAGGAAAAGAAACGAAGGGUGCCACUGUACCCUGGCUUCCCUGAGCUGGCCAGAUCUGAUGUCAGCAUCUACCCAUCUUAUUCCAAAUUGGCAUUAGCAUACCGCGUGGUUUGUCGCCAUCGUUAUCAUUGGGCCAGCGUAGCCCAACGCAAGCAGUUCAUGAGGGAGCUACACAGCUUUGAGAAACUCCAGCCAAACGCACUGGACGGAGUGAGAGUGCACCGUGAGUUCUCACAGGGCAUCCUCUCGCACAAAAUACCUCCAAGGCGAUACAUACAGAAGUUAACACCAGACCCUCUGAACUCCCAUGAAAGAAUGAGAGUGGAAGAAAUAAUAAGUGGCAGAGUUAACUUUAGUGAAAAAUAAGGAGCGUUUUGAUUCAUGUGGUAAAUAAAGCAUUUCAGUAGCUGAUUUAGCUCCUUAUAUCAUAUUAAUCAGAUUUGGAAAUAAAAUUUAUUUCUCUA